AAGACCUUUAAUAUAGUCCCGUGAGACUGAGAAGGAGUUUGUAUACCAGGUUAGGUGUGCAAAGAUUUAUAUACGAUAAGUGUAUCCUCUCAUCCAUGGGUGAGGGGAUUUUUUUA
rnacentral:sRNA from 1 species